UUUCCCUACGGGGGGCAGCAGUAGGGAAUUUUCGUCAAUGGGCGCAAGCCUGAACGAGCAAUGCCGCGUGAACGAGGAAGGUCUUCGGAUCGUAAAGUUCUGUUGAUGGGGAAAAAGAGCGGAGAGAGGAACUGCUUUCUGUUUGAUAUUACCCUUCGAGGAAGUCACGGCUAACUACGUGCCAGCAGCCGCGGUAAUACGUAGGUGGCGAGCGUUAUCCGGAUUGAUUGGGCGUAAAGGGUGCGUAGGCGGCCUGCUAAGUCUGGUGUGAAAGCUACCGGCUCAACCGGUACAG
rnacentral:rRNA from 1 species